GCGUGCGUAGCUCAGUGGAUAGAGCGACCGUUUUCUAAACGGUGGGCCGCAGGUUCGAUUCCUGCCGCAUGCAUCA
rnacentral:tRNA from 1 species